AACAUCUAAGUACCCCGAGGAAAAGAAAUCAACCGAGAUUCCCCCAGUAGCGGCGAGCGAACGGGGAGCAGCCCAGAGCCUGAAUCAGUGUGUGUGUUAGUGGAAGCGUCUGGAAAGGCGCGCGAUACAGGGUGACAGCCCCGUACACAAAAAUGCACAUGCUGUGAGCUCGAUGAGUAGGGCGGGACACGUGGUAUCCUGUCUGAAUAUGGGGGGACCAUCCUCCAAGGCUAAAUACUCCUGACUGACCGAUAGUGAACCAGUACCGUGAGGGAAAGGCGAAAAGAACCCCGGCGAGGGGAGUGAAAAAGAACCUGAAACCGUGUACGUACAAGCAGUGGGAGCACAGAGCAAUCUGUGUGACUGCGUACCUUUUGUAUAAUGGGUCAGCGACUUAUAUUCUGUAGCAAGGUUAACCGAAUAGGGGAGCCGAAGGGAAACCGAGUCUUAACUGGGCGUUAAGUUGCAGGGUAUAGACCCGAAACCCGGUGAUCUAGCCAUGGGCAGGUUGAAGGUUGGGUAACACUAACUGGAGGACCGAACCGACUAAUGUUGAAAAAUUAGCGGAUGACUUGUGGCUGGGGGUGAAAGGCCAAUCAAACCGGGAGAUAGCUGGUUCUCCCCGAAAGCUAUUUAGGUAGCGCCUCGUGAAUUCAUCUCCGGGGGUAGAGCACUGUUUCGGCAAGGGGGUCAUCCCGACUUACCAACCCGAUGCAAACUGCGAAUACCGGAGAAUGUUAUCACGGGAGACACACGGCGGGUGCUAACGUCCGUCGUGAAGAGGGAAACAACCCAGACCGCCAGCUAAGGUCCCAAAGUCAUGGUUAAGUGGGAAACGAUGUGGGAAGGCCCAGACAGCCAGGAUGUUGGCUUAGAAGCAGCCAUCAUUUAAAGAAAGCGUAAUAGCUCACUGGUCGAGUCGGCCUGCGCGGAAGAUGUAACGGGGCUAAACCAUGCACCGAAGCUGCGGCAGCGACGCUUAUGCGUUGUUGGGUA
rnacentral:rRNA from 1 species